UACGUAGGUGGCAAGCGUUGUCCGGAUUUACUGGGCGUAAAGGAUGCGUAGGCGGACAUUUUAAGUCAGAUGUGAAAUACCCGAGCUUAACUUGGGUGCUGCAUUUGAAACUGGGUGUCUAGAGUGCAGGAGAGGUAAGUGGAAUUCCUAGUGUAGCGGUGAAAUGCGUAGAGAUUAGGAAGAACACCAGUGGCGAAGGCGACUUACUGGACUGUAACUGACGCUGAGGCAUGAAAGCGUGAGGAGCAAACAGG
rnacentral:rRNA from 1 species